rnacentral:piRNA from 1 species
CCAGAACAAAUUUCAUGGGACCCCUCAGC